UACAGGGGGUGCAAACGUUGCUCGGAAUCAUUGGGCGUAAAGCGCACGUAGGCGGUUCGUUAUGUCGGAUGUGAAAGCCCUUGGCUUAACCGAGGAAGUGCAUCCAAAACUGGCGAGCUAGAGUACGAAAGAGGAUCGCGGAAUUCCCGGUGUAGAGGUGAAAUUCGUAGAUAUCGGGAGGAACACCGGUGGCGAAGGCGGGUCUCUGGGCCGUUACUGACGCUGAGGAGCGAAAGCGUGGGGAGCGAACAGG
rnacentral:rRNA from 1 species